CAUGUUUGUUAUUAGUGUUUUGUUUUCUCUUUUUUUCUUGUCAAGUGUUUAUACUUUUAAGUUUGGACAAAUCUGUACAGGUUCACCACUGAUGAUAUGUAGCCCAUUUAGUGGUGUUUUAAGUCAUAUAAAGGGAGCGAAGUACCCACAUGUUCGCGUGAUUGUGAUAAGAGGCAGUGGAGGUAACAUCGUAGUAGAUUUGGAAACGUUCCCAUUAUUGGGCUUAAUUAAAGGUGGAAGAGCGACCUGUGAAUCCGUGUUAAACAAGAAACCGAAACACGAACUCAUUGUCAACGACGAAACUUGCACAUUCCAAACCCAGUCCAAGGCCGAAGCCCACAUGUCUGACACUGAAUCUCAAACAACGAACACAAUGGCAAUACCCAAAGAACCUUCAUGGAUGAACAUUUUUGUUCUUGUGUGUGUGUGACUCUUCUUUUGUUAGUGUUGUUGUUGUUGUUGCUGUUUAGUUACAAAAUGUUUUCUUGUUCUUGUCGGUCAACUCCCUCUUUUCAUGUUGUUCCAACCUCCCCUCCUCCCUCCCCUUCUCCUCAGACUGAACCCAAAAGACUUGUUUCACCUACCCUCCCUUCUAUCCCUCUUCCAGACACUCCCUCCGCUCCUCUUUUACAUACUCCUCCUGUACCUCUCUUUGAUAUUCUUUCAAUCCCCACAAGCUUCACUUUGACACCAAUCUGCUCUCCUGCUGUUGCUCCUGUCACUGCAUCUAUGUCUGCUGAUACCACUCCAACCCACUCUCCUGCUCCUGUCACUGCAUCUGUCAAUCUUACUAGUUCACCUCUCUUCCCCCAAAUAUUUUCCCCUUGGGUGCCUUUUGACAAUAACUCUGAGGAAGAAAUUGAACUUUUUACUCUUAAAAAUGCCUAAGUGCUGUCUCUGUCUCACUAUUCUUUUCAACCCGUUGGCUCUUUGUUUAUUUACAAAUUAAUAUUGAUUAUUUACAACUUAAAGGUCCAAUAUCAUAGUUACUGAUAAUUUCUGAUUACACCUGUAUGUGUUAUGUCUAAACACUUUUUUUUUUCUUUUUUUUCACAGAACACCUUUUGACAAAACUUUAAACAUUAUAUAAAUAUUAUUCUGGAGUUAAUUAAGCAAAACAAAAUUAUGUUUGAGAUUGAUUAAUUUGUAGUUAUUUAUAACAAAUAUGUGUAAAAAUAACGAAGUAUUGUAGACUGAACUUUGAUAUUGGACCUUUAAUCAUGGCUCACACUGAAACAAAUUUUGGUUUAGCCAAUUUUCCUUUGACAUUAUUAAAAUGUGGGUAAUAUAAGGACACUUUUAUUAAUGAAAGACUAAAUGUUGUAUCCACUGUAUAACAAUUAGAAACUUAACAAUGUGCAAGGGGAGCCCUGUUUAAUAUUGAUUAUUUAUUUACAAAUUAAUAUUGAUUAUUUAUUAACAAUUAAUGUGAUUAUAAGUAAGAAUUUACUUGUUUUAUUUUAUACCAAUAUACAAAUUAAUAUUGAUUAUUAUUAACAAUUAAUGUGAUUAUAAGUAAGAAUUUACUUGUUUUAUUUUAUACAAAUUAUUGCUGAUCUUUUUCUGCACAAAUAUACACAUACACAACCAAAUAUACUACUUAACAGUAACUUUUUAAAUUGAAAUUUAGAAUGUGGAGUUGUAAUUUUUUUUUUUUUUUUUUUUUGGGGGGGGGGUCUUCUUUUUUACUUCAUUAUAUACUACUUUGUAAUGUCACUAGUGCCUUAAUACUUUACACAUAUCUACCUCACAGUGACUUUUUAAUUUACAAUUAAAACCUCAUUAUUUAAUAAAAAGAAAAGAAUCAAUACUCAUUGUAAGAAUUUACAUGUUUUUUAUUUAUAUACCAAUUAAUGUUGAUUUUAUAAUGAUUAUUUUACAAUUAGUGCUAUUUUAUAAUCCAAUUGAUGUUGAUUUUAUAAUGAUUAUUUUACAAUCAGUGCUAUUUUAUAAUCAUUUACAAUAAAACUUUA